UUUAGCUUUGCCAUGAAGAAAAACUAUUGCGAAAUACAAAAGCUGCUUCACAAAUGCUUUCAGAGAAGAAUCAACACAUCAAGCGCGCUGCAAAAAUGGCCAGUGAUUAUGACAUGACAUAAAACUACAAAGUGCUCGGCGUUCUUUGGCUGAAUUUAAAUGUCCUGCCACCACAACAACUAUUAAUGUGGCGAACGCCACUCAUCUAACACACUCUCCGUUUGGUCCGACUCCGUCGAAACAGCCGUUUCCUGCGCCUACCGUUAGAUGACUUCGAUGAAAACCAACUGGAACCACUUCAAGACGCACGACUCCAUCUCAAGUAUUCAAGAACAUGCUUUCCCUUCAAAAACUUAAACUCCA